rnacentral:rRNA from 1 species
UCCCUGGUUGAUCCUGCCAGUAGUCAUAUGCUUGUCUCAAAGAUUAAGCCAUGCAAGUCUCAGUACAAGCC